CGGAGUCGAAUCUGCUGUCCUUCAUGUCUUUGCCGAUGCCGCAUAAUUUGCUCGAGAAAGGAAAUCAUGUGAGGGCAAUGUACCUCUGCUGUUGCGUGGACUUGCAAAGGGCAAAAAAUGACGAGGUACAAGCAUGUAGCCUAGACCAGUGAGCAGUGACACAAUUCGCACGGGAUUAUUGAUGCUGAAACAAGAAAUAAAUUCUCUUCGGAGUUAAACAUGCUCCCGGCACAACAGGCAUCUACUCACUCCAGAGUCCAGGAUGGGAGUAUAUCAAUCGCAAACGGCACAUAAAAUAUACAUUUCCCUUGGCCUAACCGCCGUCCUCCGCCACUCGCUAAACCCCCACCAACCUACACCGUCAACUCUCGAACUCAUCACCGUCGUCCCCUUCUCCGGUCGGUUGUUUACCGCCGGCGAAAAAUCGACUGAAACCGUAAAAAAAGAAUAAUAAUUGCAAAAAAAAGACUUAGGCAAGGAACACGACAUACAAGCAUCAGCACUCUAUCCAGUAUCUAUGCAAUUUGAACUUUACUCCGGCGGAAUUACGGCGUCGGUGCGGCCGGAGGUGUGCCCCUCGACCGCUCCUCCUCCGGGGUGCCCCGCGCGCUCUCCUCGGUUGUCGUCUGGCCAUGGCCACCGCCGAUCUCCUCGAUCAUUCUGACCACGUCCGGAGCGUCCGGCCGCGCGUCCGGCACGGUGGCCACGCACGCCAUANNNNN
rnacentral:lncRNA from 1 species